UUCUAAUUAGUAUAUAUUUGUACAUUUACCUUCCAAGUAAAAAGUCAACAAGGGGUUGAUUAGAAA
rnacentral:tRNA from 1 species